GAAAACAAAAACAAGUGACUUUGUUACGGUGGAAAUUAGCCUAAACCAUCAAACACCUUUGUCCACACUCAAAUUUGAAAUGCCUACAAAUAAUAUUAAUCAUUCUUAUUAUUCUCAUAAAACUCAAAUAAAUUCUUGCAAAAUUAAGAGUUUUUGAUACAGAAGUAAAAUGGCCAAGAAUGUGAGCUUGGCUUCAAUGGAUCAAAAACUAGCUAUGGC
rnacentral:lncRNA from 1 species